rnacentral:rRNA from 1 species
CCCUUAGAUGUUCUGGGCCGCACGCGCGCUACACUGAUGCAUUCAACGAGCUUUACCUUGGCCGAGAGGCCUGGGCAAUCUUUUAAACCUGCAUCGUGAUAGGGAUAGAUUAUUGCAAUUAUUAAUCUUGAACGAGGAAUUCCUAGUAAACGCAAAUCAUCAAUUUGCAUUGAUUACGUCCCUGCCCUUUGUACACACCGCCCGUCGCACCUACCGAUUGAAUGGUCCGGUGAAGCCUCGGGAUUGUGGCCAGUUCACUUUAUUGGGAGUUGGCUGUGAGAACUUGUCUAAACCUUAUCAUUUAGAGGAAGGUGAAGUCGUAACA